GGGGGAGGCUGCAGGGAGGAGGUGAGAGUGUUCUAGAUGGAGGAGGAAGCAGGGAAGAGGUGAGAGUGUUUCUAGAUGGGGGAGGCAGCAGGGAGGUGAAAGUGUUUCUAGAUGGGGGAGGCAGUAGGGAGGUGAAAGUGUUUCUAGAUGGGGGAGGCAGAAGGGAGGAGGUGAGAGUGUUUCUAGAUGGGGAGGAGGCAGGGAGGAGGUGAGAGUGUUUUAGAUGGGGGAGGCAGCAGGGAGGAGGUGAGAGUGUUUCUAGAUGGGGGAGGCAGCAGGGAGGAGGUGAGAGUGAAUCUAGAUGGGGGAGGAAGCAGGGAGGAGGUGAGAGUGUUUCUAGAUGGG
ensembl:lncRNA